rnacentral:rRNA from 1 species
UACGGAGGGGGUUAGCGUUGUUCGGAUUUACUGGGUAUAAAGUGCGCGUAGGCGGUUACUUAAGUUAGGUGUUAAAUCCUUUAGCUCAACUAAAGUCUGCAUCUAAAACUGGGUAACUAGAGAGUAGUAGAGGAAAGCGGAACUCACAGUGUAGCGGUGAAAUGCAUAGAUAUUGUGAGGAACACCGGUUGCGAAGGCGGCUUUCUGGCCUAUUUCUGACGCUGAGGUGCGAAAGCGUGGGGAGCGAACGGG